rnacentral:rRNA from 1 species
UGAGGAAUAUUGGUCAAUGGGCGCAAGCCUGAACCAGCCAUCCCGCGUGCAGGAAGACGGCCCUAUGGGUUGUAAACUGCUUUUCCGGGGGGAGAAUUUUUCCGUCGUGACGGGAAUUGACGGUACCCCGGGAAUAAGCAUCGGCUAACUCCGUGCCAGCAGCCGCGGUAAUACGGAGGAUGCGAGCGUUAUCCGGAUUUAUUGGGUUUAAAGGGUGCGUAGGCGGAAUGAUAAGUCAGUGGUGAAAACCUGCAGCUUAACUGUAGACGUGCGGUUGAUACUGUCAGUCUUGAGUGUGGUCAAGGUAGGCGGAAUGUGUGGUGUAGCGGUGAAAUGCUUAGAUAUUACACAGAACACCGAUUGCGAAGGCAGCUUACUGGGCCAUUACUGACGCUGAUGCACGAAAGCGUGGGGAUCGAACAG